CCUACGGGAGGCAGCAGUGGGGAAUUUUGGACAAUGGGCGCAAGCCUGAUCCAGCAAUGCCGCGUGAGUGAAGAAGGCCUUCGGGUUGUAAAGCUCUUUUGUCAGGGAAGAAACGGUGGUUCCUAAUACGGACUACUAAUGACGGUACCUGAAGAAUAAGCACCGGCUAACUACGUGCCAGCAGCCGCGGUAAUACGUAGGGUGCAAGCGUUAAUCGGAAUUACUGGGCGUAAAGCGUGCGCAGGCGGUUAUAUAAGUCAGAUGUGAAAUCCCCGGGCUCAACCUGGGAACUGCAUUUGAGACUGUAUGGCUAGAGUGUGUCAGAGGGGGGUAGAAUUCCACGUGUAGCAGUGAAAUGCGUAGAUAUGUGGAGGAAUACCGAUGGCGAAGGCAGCCCCCUGGGAUAACACUGACGCUCAUGCACGAAAGCGUGGGGAGCAAACAGGAUUAGAUACCCUGGUAGUCCACGCCCUAAACGAUGUCUACUAGUUGUUGGGUCUUAAUUGACUUAGUAACGCAGCUAACGCGUGAAGUAGACCGCCUGGGGAGUACGGUGCAAGAUUAAAACGUUAAGGAAAUUGACGG
rnacentral:rRNA from 1 species